rnacentral:misc_RNA from 1 species
GAUGAAGAACGCAGCGAAAUGCGAUACGUAAUGUGAAUUGCAGAAUUCAGUGAAUCAUCGAGUCUUUGAACGCACAUUGCGCCCCCUGGUAUUCCGGGGGGCAUGCCUGUCCGAGCGUCAUUGCUGCCCUCAAGCACGGCUUGUGUGUUGGGCCUCCGUCCUCCUCCCGGGGGACGGGCCCGAAAGGCAGCGGCGGCACCGCGUCCGGUCCUCGAGCGUAUGGGGCUUCGUCACCCGCUCUUGUAGGCCCGGCCGGCGCUUGCCGACACAUCAAUCUUUUUUCCAGGUUGACCUCGGAUCAGGAAGGGAUACCCGCUGAACUUAAGCAUAUCAAUAAGCGGAGGA